rnacentral:rRNA from 1 species
GGGGAAUAUUGCACAAUGGGCGAAAGCCUGAUGCAGCAACGCCGCGUGAGUGAUGAAGGUCUUCGGAUUGUAAAGCUCUGUCUUUUGGGACGAUAAUGACGGUACCAAAGGAGGAAGCCACGGCUAACUACGUGCCAGCAGCCGCGGUAAUACGUAGGUGGCGAGCGUUGUCCGGAUUUACUGGGCGUAAAGGGUGCGUAGGCGGAUGUUUAAGUGAGAUGUGAAAUACCCGGGCUUAACUUGGGUGCUGCAUUUCAAACUGGAUAUCUAGAGUGCAGGAGAGGAGAAUGGAAUUCCUAGUGUAGCGGUGAAAUGCGUAGAGAUUAGGAAGAACACCAGUGGCGAAGGCGAUUCUCUGGACUGUAACUGACGCUGAGGCACGAAAGCGUGGGUAGCAAACAGGAUUAGAUACCCUGGUAGUCCACGCCGUAAACGAUGAGUACUAGGUGUAGGAGGUAUCGACCCCUUCUGUGCCGCAGUAAACACAUUAAAGUACUCCG